GUAGCGCGGUGGUCCCACCUGACCCCAUGCCGAACUCAGAAGUGAAACGCCGUAGCGCCGAUGAUAGUGUGGGGUCUCCCCAUGCGAGAGUAGGGAACUGCCAGGC
rnacentral:rRNA from 1 species